rnacentral:snRNA from 1 species
GAGAAACAGUGAAUGGUAUUACA